AACGAACGCUGGCGGCAGGCUUAACACAUGCAAGUCGGGCGCCCCGCAAGGGGAGCGGCAGACGGGUGAGUAACGCGUGGGAAUCUACCCAUCUCUACGGAAUAACGCAUGGAAACGUGUGCUAAUACCGUAUACGUCCUUCGGGAGAAAGAUUUAUCGGAGAUGGAUGAGCUCGCGUUGGAUUAGCUAGUUGGUGGGGUAAAGGCCUACCAAGGCGACGAUCCAUAGCUGGUCUGAGAGGAUGAUCAGCCACACUGGGACUGAGACACGGCCCAGACUACUACGGGAGGCAGCAGUGGGGAAUAUUGGACAAUGGGCGCAAGCCUGAUCCAGCCAUGCCGCGUGAGUGAUGAAGGCCCUAGGGUUGUAAAGCUCUUUCACCGGUGAAGAUAAUGACGGUAACCGGAGAAGAAGCCCCGGCUAACUUCGUGCCAGCCGCCGCCGUAACAC
rnacentral:rRNA from 1 species